UACGUAGGCAGCGAGCGCUGUUCGGAGUUACUGGGCGUAAAGGGUGUGUAGGCGGUUCUUUAAGUUUGGUGUGAAAUCUCCCGGCUCAACCGGGAGGGUGCGCCGAAUACUGAGGAACUAGAGUACGGGAGAGGAAAGUGGAAUUCCUGGUGUAGCGGUGAAAUGCGUAGAUAUCAGGAGGAACACCGGUGGUGUAGACGGCUUUCUGGACCGUAACUGACGCUGAGACACGAAAGCGUGGGUAGCAAACAGG
rnacentral:rRNA from 1 species